UCUCCGUUGGUGAACCAGCGGAGGGAUCAUUACAGACUUGACACACCGUGUCGUGGCUCUGCCAACCCCCGCGAACCUUAUACAUGUACGUUGCCUCGGCGGGCCCCCGCCCGCCGCCGGCCCUUACGCAAACGCUCUGACUGGCUCGGCGCUCCAUCUGAACUACAAACUUUUAAACGAGUAAAAACUUUUGGCAACGGAUCUCUUGGCUCUG
rnacentral:misc_RNA from 1 species